rnacentral:rRNA from 1 species
CCCAGACUCCUACGGGAGGCAGCAGUGGGGAAUAUUGCACAAUGGGCGAAAGCCUGAUGCAGCGACGCCGCGUGAGGGAUGACGGCCUUCGGGUUGUAAACCUCUUUCAGCAGGGACGAAGCGCAAGUGACGGUACCUGCAGAAGAAGCACCGGCUAACUACGUGCCAGCAGCCGCGGUAAUACGUAGGGUGCAAGCGUUGUCCGGAAUUACUGGGCGUAAAGAGUUCGUAGGCGGUUUGUCGCGUCGUUUGUGAAAACCAGCAGCUCAACUGCUGGCUUGCAGGCGAUACGGGCAGACUUGAGUACUGCAGGGGAGACUGGAAUUCCUGGUGUAGCGGUGAAAUGCGCAGAUAUCAGGAGGAACACCGGUGGCGAAGGCGGGUCUCUGGGCAGUAACUGACGCUGAGGAACGAAAGCGUGGGUAGCGAACAGGAUUAGAUACCCUGGUAGUCCACGCCGUAAACGGUGGGCGCUAGGUGUGGGUUCCUUCCACGGAAUCCGUGCCGU